UACGGGGGGGGCAAGCGUUGUUCGGAAUUACUGGGCGUAAAGGGCUCGUAGGCGGCCAACUAAGUCAGACGUGAAAUCCCAAAGCUUAACUUUGGAACUGCGUCGGAUACUGGAUGGCUUGAAUUCGGGAGAGGGAUGCAGAAUUCCAGGUGUAGCGGUGAAAUGCGUAGAUAUCUGGAGGAAUACCGGUGGCGAAGGCGGCAUCCUGGACCGACAUUGACGCUGAGGAGCGAAAGCUAGGGGAGCAAACGGG
rnacentral:rRNA from 1 species